rnacentral:snoRNA from 1 species
GCAUUUCCUAUGAUGACAUAAUAGUUCAGCUGAAAAUAAUGCUGACUUGUUUUCUUAUUUGUCUUUCGCUCCUAACUGAGGUGUAAU